GAUGAACGCUGGCGGCGUGCCUAAUACAUGCAAGUCGAACGAACAGACGAGGAGCUUGCUCCUCUGACGUUAGCGGCGGACGGGUGAGUAACACGUGGAUAACCUACCUAUAAGACUGGGAUAACUUCGGGAAACCGGAGCUAAUACCGGAUAAUAUAUUGCACCGCAGGGUUCAAUAGUGAGAGACGGUUUUGCUGUCACUUAUAGAUGGAUCCGCGCCGCAUUAGCUAGUUGGUAAGUUAACGGCUUACCAAGGCAACGAUGCGUGGCCGACCUGAGAGGGGGAUCGGCCACACUGGAACGGAGACACGGUCCAGACUCCUACGGGAGGCAGCAGUAGGGAAUCUUCCGCGAUGGUCGAAAGCCUGACGGAGCAACGCCGCGUGAGUGAUGAAGGUCUUCGGAUCGUAAAACUCUGUUAUUAGGGAAGAACAAAUGUGUAAGUAACUAUGCACGUCUUGACGGUACCUAAUCAGAAAGCCACGGCUAACUACGUG
rnacentral:rRNA from 1 species